GACGUAGGGCGCGAGCGUUGUCCGGAUUUAUUGGGCGUAAAGCGCGCGUAGGCGGUUGCUUAAGUCGGAUGUGAAAGCCCUCGGCUUAACUGAGGAAGUGCAUCCGAAACUGAGCAGCUAGAGUACGAAAGAGGGUCGCGGAAUUCCCGGUGUAGAGGUGAAAUUCGUAGAUAUCGGGAAGGAACACCAGUGGCGAAGGCGGCCGAUCUGGGAAGAUACUGACGCUGAGGUGCGAAAGCGUGGGAGCAACAGG
rnacentral:rRNA from 1 species